UUUCCCCUACGGGGCAGCAGUGGGGAAUAUUGGGCAAUGGGCGCAAGCCUGACCCAGCAACGCCGCGUGAAGGAAGAAGGCUUUCGGGUUGUAAACUUCUUUUGACAGGGAAGAGUAGAAGACGGUACCUGUCGAAUAAGCCACGGCUAACUACGUGCCAGCAGCCGCGGUAAUACGUAGGUGGCAAGCGUUGUCCGGAUUUACUGGGUGUAAAGGGCGUGUAGCCGGGUUGACAAGUCAGAUGUGAAGUCCUGCGGCUUAACCGCAGAACUGCAUUUGAAACUGUUGAUCUUGAGUACUGGAGG
rnacentral:rRNA from 1 species